AUUCAAGGAUGUGGGGCGAGCGGCCUAGUGCUGCGAAGCAAUUGGAAGUGGUUCCAAGAAAAGCCUCUAAGCUUCAGUCAUACGAGACCGUACCGCAAACCGACACAGGUGGGCGAGAUGAGUAUUCUAAGGCGCUUGAGAGAACUCGGGAGAAGGAACUCGGCAAAUUGGUACCGUAACUUCGGGAUAAGGUACGCCCUGGUAGCUUGACUGGCCUGCGCCAGAAGGGUGAAGGGGUUGCAAUAAAAUGGUGGCUGCGACUGUUUAAUAAAAACACAGCACUCUGCAAACACGAAAGUGGACGUAUAGGGUGUGACGCCUGCCCGGUGCCGGAAGAUUAAAUGAUGGGGUGCAAGCUCUUGAUUGAAGUCCCGGUAAACGGCGGCCGUAACUAUAACGGUCCUAAGGUAGCGAAAUUCCUUGUCGGGUAAGUUCCGACCUGCACGAAUGGCGUAACGAUGGCCACACUGUCUCCUCCCGAGACUCAGCGAAGUUGAAGUGUUUGUGAUGAUGCAAUCUCCCCGCGGCUAGACGGAAAGACCCCAUGAACCUUUACUGUAGCUUUGCAUUGGACUUUGAACCGAUCUGUGUAGGAUAGGUGGGAGGCUUUGAAGCGUGGACGCUAGUUCACGUGGAGCCGUCCUUGAAAUACCACCCUGGUUUGUUUGAGGUUCUAACCUUGGCCCGUGAAUCCGGGUCGGGGACAGUGCAUGGUAGGCAGUUUGACUGGGGCGGUCUCCUCCCAAAGUGUAACGGAGGAGUUCGAAGGUACGCUUGGUACGGUCGGACAUCGUACCUAAAGUGCAAUGGCAAAAGCGUGCUUAACUGCGAGACCGACAAGUCGAGCAGGUGCGAAAGCAGGACAUAGUGAUCCGGUGGUUCUGAAUGGAAGGGCCAUCGCUCAACGGAUAAAAGGUACUCUGGGGAUAACAGGCUGAUACCGCCCAAGAGUUCAUAUCGACGGCGGUGUUUGGCACCUCGAUGUCGGCUCAUCUCAUCCUGGGGCUGUAGCCGGUCCCAAGGGUAUGGCUGUUCGCCAUUUAAAGAGGUACGUGAGCUGGGUUUAAAACGUCGUGAGACAGUUUGGUCCCUAUCUGCCGUGGGCGUUGGAAUCUUGACGGGGGCUGCUCCUAGUACGAGAGGACCGGAGUGGACGUACCGCUGGUGUACCUGUUGUCUCGCCAGAGGCAUCGCAGGGUAGCUAUGUACGGAAGAGAUAACCGCUGAAAGCAUCUAAGCGGGAAACUCGCCUGAAGAUGAGGAUUCCCUGGAGGCUUGACCUCCUUGAAGGGUCGUUCGAGACCAGGACGUUGAUAGGCUGGGUGUGGAAGCGCAGUAAUGCGUUAAGCUAACCAGUACUAAUUGCCCGUAAGGCUUGAUCCU
rnacentral:rRNA from 1 species